UCUCUAUCUUCGAGUUUCUUGGUCUCUCAUUUCUGUGUUCUUCCUGUGAAGCAGACAUUCUUUUCUCUGUCUCUGAAGCCUAGCUUUGCUUUUGACGAUUGCAGUCAGAAACUAUGUUCAAAUGAACCUAGUUCAAAUAACAAAACAGAAAGGCUAGUGUUGAAUGCAAAUUCAAAUUCCAGGGAGAAAAACUGAAUGGUGUAGGUUAGAUCACUUAGCUUCUCUGAGCAGUCAGCUUAUGAUCAAGGCAAAGUAGCUGUGAGCACAGAACAUAAAACCUUGUAGUUUCCUUGAAAGGAUGAGAUAGAUAUAAAAAAAAUAAUUAUACUUGUUAUGGUUUGAAUUAUCUACUUAUUUAUUAUCAGAACACUUUGAGCCAGAUCCUGGGAGCUUUAGCAAAGGGGUAAAAAGUGAAAGUUAAUAUUUAAUCCUUAACAAAUUAGUUCACUACUGAAAUUUAACACAUGGCUUAGUAUGAAAAUACGUGAGAUGGAUCUGGUGAGAAAAUGGUGAGAAUUGGAAUAAGAGCCUCUUAUACUAACUGUGGGAGCUUGAAAAAUGUCCAUAUAACUUCUGAUCCUUAAUUUCCUCUUCUGUAAUGUGGGGAUUAUAAAACUUGCUUAAUAUGAAAAUUUUAUUAAACAAGGAAAAUUGAUAAAGAUGUUCAAAUUGUUCAGUUACUGUGAAGUUCUUUACAGACCUUUGUCUCUAUAUUUCUCAUACCAUAUUCCUAUAAAGGAUGGGGUGGAGGGAGGGCUAAGAUAGGGGUUGGGAUUAAGAGAAACAAACUGCUAUGUAUAAAAUAAGUAAGCAGCAAGGAUACACUGUACAGCAGAGGGAAAUAGUCAUUCUUUUGUAAUAACUAUGUUGUACACCUGAAAUUACUAGACCAUUGUAAAUCAACUAUAUUUCAAUUAAAAAAAAAAGAAAAAAAAAACAAAACAAACUACUGACAAGAAGAUACCUGGAGUAGGAAUAAGGAGGCUCCUGAGAAGGAGGAAUUUGAAAUCAUAAGCAAAGUGAGGUCCAUGGUCACCAGCAGUAGUUGCCAGUUUCAUACAACAGACACCUGUGCUUCUUGCUCAGGUAGAAUGAGAGACGCCUUUGUAUUGGUCUGCAGAUCUGAAGAGGACAGAAUAUAGAAGAGCAUCCCUCCACUAAUAGGCAUAUCCUAAGUUUCUUCUGGGUGGUAUUACCUUUUGGGAAGGAGAAACAGGAAGUAAAAUCUGUUCAGAGGGGAAAAUAGGCCUGAUGGAGUUAAAAUCAUCUUAAUUAAAUUCAAUUCAAGAAGAUGUUUGACAUUGGAGGAGAUAUGAAUAAGAUGAAUUACUGUAGGGAGUUCCCGUUGUGGCUCAGUGGUUAAGGAACUCUGCUAGUAUCCAUGCAGACGCUAGUAUCCAUCAAUCCCUGGUCUCACUCAGUGGAUUAAGGAUCCAGCGUUACCUUGAGCUGUGGUGUAGGUCACAGACGCAGCUCAGAUGUGGCAUUGCUGUGGCUGUGGUGUAGGCCGGCAGCAACGGCUCCAAUUCGAGCCCUAGCCUGGGAACCUACAUAUGCCAUAUACCCUCAAAAUAAAAAACAAAACAAAAAGAUGAAUUGCUGUAGAAAAAAAAAAUUUUUUUUAACACGUGGAUGAGUCAUGGAGUGUAAUCCAUUUACUCAACUGUAGGAGAAUUAAUGAGAUCAUACAACUAAGACUUGUUUUGCUUUAAAUCAGUGAUUCAAAGGCAGCUUCUAGGGAGCAAGUCCCUUAGCUGAUGAAUAGGCAUAGAGUAUAUUCUAUUAAAUAUCCUUGUGCAUAUAGAAGUCACGCGGGUCCUACAGUUAUGCUUCAAGAAUGUUAAGUGUGAACUAUCAAAAAAAAAAAAAAAAAGGCAGCAGUGCUUGUGUUAGAGUGAGUGAGAUGAGUUUCUUUCCUUUUUGUUGUUCAUGUGGUUUAUGAUAAAAAGUAAAUAAAAACAAGUACAUGCUCAAGCUUAUCGAGUACAUGGCUGAGAAUGAGAAAAACAAAAUUUGUGUAGAUUUUAUUCUAAAUCAUCGUAUGAUACAAAUGUCAUUGCCAUUUCAUAAGAAACCUUUUGUUCUUAUUAGAAUCCCUUUUGCUAAGUGAGCACAGGGUGUACUCCCGAGACUGUUUUUUCCAAUAAAUAUAUAAAUGAUAUUAAAUGUAAAUAUAUCUUUUGACCAUGAGAAGGACCCUCUCACUCUCCAUCAACCAAAUCAGGGAAAUUAUCUUGAAAAUUCUGAGUUCACAAUUGCCAUCUAUGGUUAAAUAAUCUACUUAAAAUUUUUUUAAAUUGAAGUAUAGUUAAUUUACAGCUUAGCAAUUCAGCAUUUUUGCAAAUUGUAUUUUAUUGGUUUUUUUUAGUUGUGAGUACAAUUGGGCAACAGGCUGUCUCCAGGGACAAAAGGGCAAAAUAUCAAAACCAAAUAAACAAGAAAGAGUGAAACUUAUGUCACGUCUUCAGAAUUUACUUUCCUCCCACAAAAUGCCUGUCCCUGUUUACUCUUUGGUUUCAUCAGCUAUUUGUGCAUUUUUAUUUAACUUGUCCAGAAUUUAUACAGGCUUGAAAGAUGGGUUGAAGAGGGUUAUGCCACCAUCCUGAAACCAGACCUUGAGUAACAGGAUUUUGAUUCUAAGAUUUUAUGGAGUUUGGGGCAACCACGAUGGGUGUUAAUCUCCUCUAUGCUGGAUUGAUCUCAGACAAUGUCCUGACCUCUCUCAGGUAGAAUCAGGCACCUGUAGUGGCUCCCUGGAAGCUGGCUUGUCUAAGGUUCCCUUCUUAACUUUUCCUGCUGCCCUGCUUUUUCUGGGUAACAAUAGCACUGCACUUAAACCUUAACUCUGUCCUUAUUUAGAAAAAAUUCCAGAGGGAGAAAUUUCUUAUUUUCAAUUUCUCAAUAACCAUCAUUGAAAUGAGAGAAUCAACAUCUUGGUGGCAUGAUUAGUUUUUUUCCCCUCCCAUUGAUUUAUAACUAAAUGGACAUCCAUAGCCAAACAAAAUGGCUUUGCCUAGCACACCAGGGAUCCAUCCAUCUGUGAAUGGAUGCAGAAGGACUGAACCUUGGAAGACUCCAGGAUUGCCAAUGGAGUCAAGGUGGUAGUGUUGGCAGCAGAGACAAUUGGUGGACUCUCUAGCAGAAGUGUGGGAAAGUGGAAGUUUUCAGUGAAAGUCUGUCAGGCUGCUGAGGUACAGCAGGAGGAUCUGCUGUUCUUCAGCACGGUAUAGAUGUCUGUGAAGGGACUUCCAUGACUGAGGGGAAGGAAAGAAAAUGGAAGAAGGCAGACAAGAGAUUGGAAUGAAUAUGUUUCCUACUCUCUGCCAUGGGAUUUCAACAAGUGGUCCACCCAAAAACCUCAGAUCCUCCCCAGCUUGAGGAUACCCCUACUGGCUUGUGGACAUACCCCAAACUCCAUGUGCUAAGCCUACACUUUUCCUUCACUCUCUAUCAGUUUUUUUAAAAUGCCUGGAUUUUUAGGCGUAGUUCCAACUUUAACAGCAAAUUAAGCCUGGUAAGAGAAACCAAAAUUUGUGCUAUAGUUCAACACAAAUUUUAUUAUAACAAUUUUUUUUUCUGCAAAUCUAUUGAACUGUUAGAGUCAAAGAAUACAAAAUUUUCCCUAAGUAUAAAAGGUUGUUUGGGGAGUUCCCAUUCAUAACUCAGUGGUUAACGUAUCUGAUUAGCAUCCAUGAGGAGGCAGGUUCCAUCCCUGGCCUUGCUAAGUUGGUUAAGGAUCUGGUGUUGCCAUGAACUGUGGUGUAGGUCACAGACAUGGCUUAGAUCCUGUGUUACUGUGGCUGUGGUGUAGUCUAGCAGCUACCGCUCUGAUUUGACCCCUAUCCUGGGAACCUCCAUAUGCUGUGUGUGCAGCCCUAAAAAAAAAAAAGAAGAUUGUUUGCCACGUCAACCAAAACAGCCAAGGCACAUUUUAUCAAUUGUUAUGAAAAAUAAUGAUAAUAUGAUAUCACAGCAAAAAAUGACAAUCUCUAGCAACUGAUCUCAAAGACAUGGAAUAUUGCAAUCUAACUGAUUAAAAGUUCAAAAUAGCUUUUACGAAGAUAUCCAAUAAGGUAUAAGAAAACUCAGAGAGGCAAUUCAAAAACAUGCUCACAAAGCAAUAGAAUACUCUAUUAUUUCUAUACAAAAACACUUUCUUCAAGGCAUAUUAUAAUGACAUUGUCAAAAAUCAGUGAUAAGGAAGAAUUUUAAAGUCAGACAAGGAAAAAGGUGAGUAACCUAUAAAGGAAUCACCAUGACACUAUCAGCAGAUUUCUCAGCAGAAACUGGACUAGUGAGGAGAGUGGAAUGACAUAUUCAAAGUAUUGAAAGAUUAAAACUGCCAGCCAAAAAUACUCUGUUUAGCAAAAUUAACUUUCAGAUAGGAGGAGAAAUAAAGACUUUUCCUUUAUUUGGAUAAACAAAAACUAAGGGAGUUUACCACCACCAGACUCCUAGCAAAAAAACUAAGAAUCUUUCAAGCUAAAACAAAAGACACUAAUUAGACACAUGUAAAAAAAUGAAAGUACAUGAAACUCUGAUAAAGGUGAUAACUAUGGUACUUUAAAAAUAGCAGGUUAACCACUUUAUUGAAGAAAAAAGUUUAAAAAAAGAGCAUUAAAAUCAUUGUAUCUACUACAAGUGACUAACAAAUUGAUAGCAUAAUAAGAGGUAAGGUCUGACAUCAAAAAUAUAAAAUAGGGAGAAAGCGUAAAACUAUUAAUGAAGAUACAUUGCUAUCAGCAGAAAAAUAAUUGUUUUAUUUAUGAAAUGUUUUAUAUAAGCCUUAUGGUCACCAAAAAGCAAAAAUCUAGAACAGAGACACAAACCAUAAAAUAAAGGGACACUAAGAAUAUCAUCAUAGAAAACCACUAAUUUGCAAAGGAAGACAGAAACAGAAUGAAAAAGAAACAAUGGAGAUAUAAAAUAACAAGAAAUCAAAAGUUAAGAUGGCAAUAGCAAGUUCUCACAUAUCAAUAAUCACCCUAAAUCAUCAAAAGGCACAGAGUAGCCAUAUGGAUUAAAAAAUAAGACUUGACUAUAAGCUACCUAUAGGAAAAUCAUUUCAGCUCUAAAGACACAAAUAGACUUAAAGUGAGGGGACGGAAGAUGAUAUUCCAAGUAAGUGUAAACCAAAAGAAGAAAAAAAAAAAAAAAACAACAACUGGUAACAAGAGCUGAAGAAAGUCAUACAAAGAUAAAAGGGUCAAUACCUCAGGAAGAUAUAACAACAGAAAAUAUAUAUUCUCACAACUUUGAAACACUGACAUAUAUUAAGCAAACUUUAACAGAUCUUAAGGGAGAAAGAGACAAUAUACAAUAACCCACUAUCAGCAAUGGGUGAUAAGCAGAAAAUCAAUAAGGAAACAUUAGAAUUGAACCAUUUUUGAGAACAAAGUAACUUAACAGACAUAUAUGGAGGAGUCCAACCAACAGCAAUAGAAUCAACAUUCUUCUCAAGUGCACACAGAACACUGCCCAGGAUAGAUGAUGCGAUAGAACACAAAACAAAUAUUAGCAAAUUUCAGAAGAUUGAAACCAUACCAACUGUCCUUUCUCACCAGUGUUAU
ensembl:lncRNA